rnacentral:rRNA from 1 species
GAUGAACGCUGGCGGCGUGCCUAACACAUGCAAGUCGAACGGAGUCCAGCCUUUAAGACCUUCGGGUCAAAGAGGGGAAGACUGAGUGGCGGACGGGUGAGUAACACGUGGGCAACCUGGCUCAUAGAGGGGGAUAACAGAGAGAAAUUUCUGCUAAUACCGCAUAAGCACACACUGCCGCAUGGCAGAGGGUGAAAAGAGAAUCGCUAUGAGAUGGACCCGCGCCUGAUUAGCCAGUUGGCAGGGUAAGAGCCUACCAAAGCGACGAUCAGUAGCCGAUCUGAGAGGAUGAACGGCCACAUUGGGACUGAGACACGGCCCAAACUCCUACGGGAGGCAGCAGUGGGGGAUAUUGCACAAUGGGGGGAACCCUGAUGCAGCGACGCCGCGUGAGUGAAGAAGUAUUUCGGUAUGUAAAGCUCUAUCAGCAGGGAAGAUAAUGACAGUACCUGAAUAAGAAGCCCCGGCUAACUACGUG